GAUGAACGCUGGCGGCGUGCCUAAUACAUGCAAGUCGAACGAAGAUCUAGCUUGCUAGAUCUUAGUGGCGAACGGGUGAGUAAUACAUAAAUAAUCUGCCCAUAUGACUGGGAUAACUAUUGGAAACGAUAGCUAAUACCGGAUAGGUUGAUUGGAGGCAUCUCUGAUUAAUUAAAGCAGGAUUUCUACACAAAUGGAUGAGUUUAUGGCGCAUUAGUUAGUUGGUGGGGUAACGGCCUACCAAGACGAUGAUGCGUAGCCGACCUGAGAGGGUGACCGGCCACACUGGGACUGGGACACGGCCCAGACUCCUACGGGAGGCAGCAGUAGGGAAUUUUCGGCAAUGGGCGCAAGCCUGACCGAGCAAGGCCGCGUGAGUGAUUAAGGCCUUCGGGUUGUAAAGCUCUGUUGUAAGGGAAGAACAGUCAGGAUAGGAAAUGAUCUUGAACUGACGGUACCUUACCAGAAAGCCACGGCUAACUACGUGCCAGCCGCCGCGGUAA
rnacentral:rRNA from 1 species